UACGGGGGGGAGCAAGCGUUGUUCGGAUUUACUGGGCGUAAAGGGCGCGUAGGCGGCCAGCACAAGUCAGUUGUGAAAUCUCCGAGCUUAACUCGGAACGGUCAACUGAUACUGUGCGGCUAGAGUGCGGAAGGGGCAACUGGAAUUCUUGGUGUAGCGGUGAAAUGCGUAGAUAUCAAGAGGAACACCUGCGGCGAAGGCGGGUUGCUGGGCCGACACUGACGCUGAGGCGCGAAAGCUAGGGGAGCGAACGGG
rnacentral:rRNA from 1 species